rnacentral:lncRNA from 1 species
CUGGUCCUGGGGGAGGGGGUUACAUUCACACAGCAGCUCAUCCCUCCAUGUGUGUGAGUGAUCUUCAGUGCAGCAUGUGUUCACCCAUGCAGCUGGAGGGGUUCAGCUUGUUUGCAGAAAACAACGUGAUGUGUUGUGCACAUGUCCUCACAGGACUGCUCAGCUCCCAGAGUUUCCUGCCCUUCAUCUGUUUAUGCCAUAGCCUUAUUGUCAAAGACUUUUUGUUUGUUUGUUUCUUUUGUUUCUUACUGGGGUCAGUAGCAAGGUGAAAGAAUUGGAUCUCUGCUUUAAUAAAAUUCACGAGUCUUUGUUUAAGCAUGUCCAAUAUACUUGUUUCUUCCCUUUGAACAUGAAUGAUAUCUCUUCCAAUGUUAAUUAACAGUUCACAAGUGGAUAAGCUAAAUAGCCAUUUAGAACUAUGGAAAUGUAAUUGCUCCACCAUCUGGUCAGCUGUAAUAUUUUAUAAUGACUAUAUGAAGAAACAAUGUUGUUUUUUUUACCGCCAGUGUAAACCACCAUGAUGCUUCCUGAGUGCCAUUGUGUAGAUUUGGAUUCUGCCCCAACAUCAUCCUUGAACUUGAAGACCAGCUUCUUGGGCAUCAUGGUUGAUGACCAGAAUUCUUGGUCUGGAUUGUUCCUGGAGCCCAGCAGGGCUGGGACUGUUCCAUACCCACUGUGUCUCCUGCACUGGGGACUGCUGGUGCCACACACUGAGUGCCUGAAAGAAGCCUUUGCCUCUCAGGUUCUCAGCACCACCACUUGUCAGACUGGGAAUCUAAAAGGAAAAAUGAUCCAGUAAAAAUAGGAGAAACUGAUUUUCUUGCAGGGGAAACAAUACGAGCACAUAAUCCACAGAGUAUCUCUUUAACUAAUGCCAAAAUAGUUAGGUGAAAAUGGAAAAAAAAAAUUGCCAGAAAUAUGAAACUUUUAAGUAUCUAUUAUUCACAACAGAAAAGUGGUUUGUCCUUUGGGUGGAAAAAAGAAGAUUGUCCCAUCAUGGUGCCCAUGCACUUUUAAAGCCUAAGAGUGGGGAUUUCAAAAAUAAUGAAGUGACUUGGGCACCUGCGGCAAAUUGACUUCCCAUGGGUAUUACGUAUCCCCCAAAUCCUUGUUAUUUCUAACAUUUUUAUCCUCGGAAAUUACUUUUAAAAACUGAAGAAAUGGGCAGUCUUCAUACAAAUAGUCACCAGAUGUAAAUGCUGACAUGAUUCUCUACUUUGAGCUCCUCUCAGGCCCUGCUGGCCUUUCACAAGCACGAGCAGCAGUGACCACAUCCAGGCCACUUUCUGCAGCGGGCACAGGUCUGGCCACAGCUGGACCCCUUCCUUCCUGCUCGCCCCUGCCCUGGGCACAGCCAGGCGCUCGGGCACCUCUGAGGCUGGGGGACAAGUCAGCAUACAACAUGCUUGUGGAUAUGCAAGCAGAUUGUUUACUUGCACAGCAGAAGCAGGUCUGCACGCAGCCUUACAUCAGCUAAUGCCAGCCUCGUCUACAGCAGAGGUGUAAUUGCUAUUGAAUUCCUAAUUCUCUUUUAAUUCUAUGAAAUUGCUAUAUAGACCUGUUCAUUUUACUCUUAUAAAAUUCAGGAGGGCUUUUCCAUAAGGGAUAGCUUCAGAAACAUUAAAAUAGGACAAUUGCUGUUUUUUGGAGAGCUCUAUUGCAAGUGUAUUGCCUUCUCAGCUGGAAAGGAUGAUUACUGAUGUCUGAAAAAGGUACUUACAGCUUAGUACACAGUAAACAUGUAUUCUGUUUUUCUUUUGCUCUGUUAAACAAUAUAAUACAUAGCAAAAAAUCUACAGAAAUAGCAAUCAAAACAGACACACUUUAAGAAGAAUCCCAAUGCUUCUUAAUUUGUACUUCAUUCCUCCCAUCAGCAUUUCCACCGGCAUUCAUCACUGAAUAUUCAUUCCUGCUUCUGGCUCCGGGCUGAGUGUGGCAGCAGCCACCAGAGUCACACAGGUAUUGCCACCGAGAGGGUGACAAGACGUCCUCCAUCCCCCAGCCUUCCCUGGUUUGGGAUUGCCGGGCUCCCCACCAGACCCCUUUCCCCUGCCUGAUGCGCUGAGAGCUCCCCCUCCUGUUGCAGUCAACGUUAACCGCAGUCGACAGAUUAAUAUUAUUACCUCAUUUUAAUUAAUUCCUCUCCUCGACUCAAAAAAGCACAUCUGGUGCUUUUCAGAGCCAGACAAAGAUUCUUUCCUCCCAUCCUCUCCUGAACAUCAAUUAAUAACUUGGCAACAAAGAGAAAAUAAGAGUUUGUUCUGCAUACCUAACAGUCAGAAGUGAGAGAGAGAGAGAGAGAGAGAGAGAGAAGGGACUUGCUCUAGACAGGGAUCAAGGAAAAUGACAACUGCUAAAUCUUCCGUGUUCCUGCACCUCAGCAGGGCUUAUUAGGACAAGCCAGAGCAACACAACUACUGUGUCUAGGCUGUUUUCAGGCCAAGGUUGUCUCACAUCUGUUUAACUUGAAGUGCAAAGAGAAGAGAUGCUGAAUUGUUUACAGCUGUCUGGGUGGGGGGCUCAGAAGGCAAUUACAGCCCUUGCUACCAACGUUUCCUCCCACAGGCCCACACUUCAACUUCCAAAUGAGAGCAACUCCACUCCUAGAAUUUCGAAAAGCUCUCUCCUAAUAAAACCAGAAAAAAACGCA